rnacentral:rRNA from 1 species
AUUGAACGCUGGCGGCAUGCUUUACACAUGCAAGUCGAACGGUAACAGGCCUUCGGGUGCUGACGAGUGGCGAACGGGUGAGUAAUGCAUCGGAACGUACCCAGAGGUGGGGGAUAACGCAGCGAAAGCUGUGCUAAUACCGCAUGUGAUCUGAGGAUGAAAGCGGGGGACCGAGCAGCAAUGUUUGGCCUCGCGCCUUUGGAGCGGCCGAUGUCGGAUUAGCUAGUUAGUGGGGUAAAGGCCUACCAAGGCGACGAUCCGUAGCUGGUCUGAGAGGACGACCAGCCACACUGGGACUGAGACACGGCCCAGACUCCUACGGGAGGCAGCAGUGGGGAAUUUUGGACAAUGGGCGCAAGCCUGAUCCAGCAAUGCCGCGUGCGGGAAGAAGGCCUUCGGGUUGUAAACCGCUUUUGGCAGGAACGAAACGGUGUCCGCUAAUACCGGGCGCUAAUGACGGUACCUGCAGAAUAAGCACCGGCUAACUACGUG